rnacentral:rRNA from 1 species
CCUACGGGUGGCUGCAGUGGGGAAUUUUCCGCAAUGGGCGCAAGCCUGACGGAGCAAUACCGCGUGAGGGAGGAAGGCUCUUGGGUCGUAAACCUCUUUUGUUAGGGAAGAAGUUCUGACGGUACCUAACGAAUCAGCAUCGGCUAACUCCGUGCCAGCAGCCGCGGUAAUACGGAGGAUGCAAGCGUUAUCCGGAUUUAUUGGGCGUAAAGCGUCCGCAGGUGGUUUAUCAAGUCUGCUGUCAAAGCAUGGAGCUUAACUCCAUAUAGGCAGUG